rnacentral:lncRNA from 1 species
UUUAGCCUCUGCUCUCUGAGACUUCAGCCAGGUGCAAAGAGCAGAUACAGAGCUGAAGGUGAGGUUGAGUUACUUACAUCCAGCGGUACCAGAAUGUGCCUGGGAAUCAUGGGGGUGAAAAAUUAACUCUGACUGAGGCAGGUAUCUCUGAUGCUUUCUGGAAGGAGGAUGGGGUCUGUGCCAGGCCUUGGAUGUGGGAGAAGGAGGAGCUGUCAGGAAGCAGCAGUGGCCUCAGCAACGGCACUGUUGUGAGGAACGCGGGCUGUGUUUGGGGAACAGCCAGGGGUUUUGUGUGGCAGGUUUACAGCACCUGUAGGAGACUGCAUUGGCAAAUAAAAACCGCAGUUUAAACUCUGAGUUUCAAUCAGAAACUAACAGCUCUUGGAUUUCCCGGGGCUCACACUCCUCUGAAACAACUCACGAAGAGCCUGAGGAAGCAGUUCUCACUGGAAAAUGCAAGAAAGUAUGUUCUGAUGAAGACCCUUAGCUCUGUUCAUUUUCAUGAUGCAAAUGCCCACAAAGGUGGUUUUGACCUGACUGACCCUGUGCGAGGAGGCACAGUCUCCUCACCAGCAUAAGCACGUGGCAUCAGAUGCGGAGACAGUUUUGGACGUGGAUGGAUGUUUACACACUGAGACUCCUUCAGUGUCCCUUCAAGAAAAUGUGGACACAGUGUCUCUGAAGCCUGUUAGUGACCAUAGAAUUAAUUUCACUAAUACCUUUCGGUCACCGACUCCUGAAAAGAGAACAUGUGAAUAUCAUGAGUCCGUUGAAAAAAGACAGUAAGUGGGCUUGAAAAAACAGAAUAAAAGAAACACAAGUUUUCAUUUUGAUCAAGGUUAAAAGGAUGCCGUUAAGGAACAGCUGCCUUCCACCUGAAUGAGCCACUAGAUGCUAAAACACUUUUGCUUGUCUGUAAACAUGUGACUACAAUUAGGUUUAUAUUUCUUUGAAGAAACUGUAUUGUGUUAUCUAAAUUUGUAACGUCACAUUUGAGAGACUCAGUGAUUAAAAACAGCUAUUUUCAC